rnacentral:misc_RNA from 1 species
AACUGAUACUACCUGCGGGAACCUGCGGAAGGAUCAUUACGAAAUUGUAGGCCGGUCUGACCGGUUCUAUUCUACCCUGUUUUUUGCGCACCUUUUGUUUCCUCGGUGGGCUUGCCUGCCGAUAGGACAAUUUCAACUCUUUAUGAUUUUUAGCAAUCAGCGUCAAAAUUUACUAAAUUGUAACAACUUUCAGCAAUGGAUCUCU